UACGUAGGUGGCAAGCGUUGUCCGGAUUUAUAGGGUUUAAAGGGUGCGUAGGCGGUUCUAUAAGUCAGUGGGGAAAUACGGCAGCUCAACUGUCGAGGUGCCAUUGAUACUGUGGAACUUGAGUACAGACGAGGUAGGCGGAAUUGACGGUGUAGCGGUGAAAUGCUUAGAUAUCGUCAAGAACACCGAUAGCGAAGGCAGCUUACUAGACUGUAACUGACGCUGAGGCACGAAAGUGUGGGGAUCAAACAGG
rnacentral:rRNA from 1 species